ACAUUUCAAUCUCUCAGACACUAGACACUACCUAUCUACUCCAAGAUCCGCGGCGGCGUGCUGGCCUACUCUAAGAUCCGCCGGCGCGUCGUGGCGGCUCCUCCGCGUCCCGCCUCCGAGGCCGCGGGCGGCGUCAGGCUGAUCGGGGUGGCGCGCGGCGCCGGGGAGCGCCCCAUCGUAUUCGUGCCUCUCAAGCCUAGGCCAUGGAGGGGGUAUCAUCAGCUCCAGAAAUGGACGAGGCUAUCUCAACUGACCAAUCAAGCAGAUCAACAAAAAGAAGGGCUAAAGUGUGGGAUCAUGUUGAUUCAGAGCUAAUAGAUGGGAAAGAGAAGGCGGUUUGCAAAUACUGUAAGGCCCACUUAUCUUCUGCUGCGGGUAAAGCACAUUUCAUUAGUGAAGAUUUUGAGUUGCACAAAAAGAUUAUUGCAUUCAAGAAGAUUUCCUUCCCACAUACAUCUUAUGCUGUGCAAGAUGGUAUUACCUCUUGUUUGCUAGAGUGGGGAUUGGUUGGUGAUUUGUUUACCCUGACUUUGGAUAAUGCUAGUGUAAACAAUAGAGCAAUGAAAGAUAUGCGAGAUGCUUUGGGCAGCCAGAUGUUUUUCAGUGGUGAACACCUCCAUGUGAGGUGUUCUUCUCAUGUGCUCAACAUCAUGGUUCAAGCUGGACUAAAGGCUAAGGAGUUCCUUGGUGCUUCCGGUGACAAGCGAAAGGAAGUCAAUUAACUCUGAAUCAGUGGUUCUGCUGCAAGGUUACACACAACAUUUUAUUGAAUGGAAAGAGGACACUCGGUGACCACAAGAUCAUCAGAUGAUCAUUUGUUGAGCUCUGGAACUAAAUCCUCUCCGCAGGUGGUAACCAGGCGGGUUCCCAUCCGAGUUCCGAGGUCACUGUAAUGCUAAAUUGUCAAGUUCAGUUAUCUGAAUUCAGUUUGAGUUAUAAUUCUCAUCAAGCAUCAAUGUCACCAACUGUGUAGAAAUACUGAAUUUUAGCAUGGAGCGUCUUUAUAAACAUUUUAGCA